rnacentral:tRNA from 1 species
AGCCCGGUCGUCUAGCGGCCAAGGAUGCGGGGCUUUGGACCCCGUGGCCCGGGUUCGAAUCCGCCGGGCUACCA